UCGCUCAGGCCCUUUCCACAUCUGUAUACGGAUUAAUCUUUCGCCUUUUACUAAAGAUUACCGUGUGGAAGGGCACUCGAAUGAGCCUAUAGGGCAAUUUUUGUGAGUGCCCUUCCCGUUUGGGAGGGGC
rnacentral:snRNA from 1 species